UGGUGGAUAUCUUGGCUUGGGCACCGAUGAAGAGCGUGACAAGCUGCGAUAAGCUCGGGUUAGUCGCAUGUAGACGUUUACCCCGAGAUUCUCGAAUCGGACAUCCGCUUGCGGCCCAAUAAGCCGCAAGAUUCCCGUCAGGGAAAGGGAACCCUGGGAAGUAAAACAUUUUAGUACCAGGAGGAAAAGAAAACAAUCGUGAUUCCGUUAGUAACGGCGAGCGAAAGCGGAACAGAUCAAACCGAAUCCCUUGGGGAUAACCCAAGGGAGAUGUGGAGUGUGGACCUCGUACGGCCUCCCCAAAAAAGGUGAAUACCCCUGAAAAGUCGAGCCAUAGAGCGUGAUAGCCGCUUAACCGUAAUUUGGAAGGCUGCUGCGAGGUAUCCCGAGUAGUGCGGGAUAGUUUUCUCGUACGAAUGUGCCAGAUACACGCUGGCAAAUCUAAAUAUGUCCCAAGACCGAUAGUGAAAUAGUAGCGUGAGCAAAAGAUGAAAAGAAACCCGGAAGGGUCGUGAAAAGCGCUUGAAACCA
rnacentral:rRNA from 1 species